rnacentral:tRNA from 1 species
AGCUUUUUAGUUUAUGUUGAAUAGUUGUUUGUGGUGUAACUGGUUUAUGGAGCUA